UUUUGCGGUGCCGUUCUUGAGGCAGGAGUAAUGAGCUUGGAGGAGCCAUUGACAGUAUCCUCUUUUGCCUUUGUUGCCAGCAUCCAGAUCCAGGUCGACCUGGUUUUCUUCAUAGAGGGAAGGUGAUUGAUUUUCUCUCUCUGCAUCGUACAAAUGCCUUGAUCCAGUAUGCAUUGAUUGGUCCAGAAAAGGAAGGUUGUAAGACAAUAGGCUUUGGGAGGAACCGGCACAACCCUCUAGGGGUGGCCUAUCACAUAUAUAUAUAUAAUGAGGUGGUAUACAACGUUACAAUAUACACAUGUAAAUACAGUCUAACACCCUCCCUCAAUCUUAGCCACUUUCUAAUGAAUCUAGAAGGGUAAGAUUGCGCCUGCAAGUCUUAAACUGUGGCAAAGGCAAUGGCUUGGUGAAGAUGUCAGCAAGUUGAUCCUUGGAAGAAAUAAACUUGAUCUGUAGUUGCUUCUGAGAGACACGUUCACGCACAAAGUGAUAGUCAACUUCAAUGUGUUUCGUUCGGGCAUGGAAUACCGGAUUUGCAGAAAGGUAUGUAGCACCGAUGUUAUCACACCAAAGAACAGGAGGCUGUGAUUGGGGUAUACUUAACUCCUGAAGCAAGGACUGUACCCAGAUGAUCUCUGAUGUGGCAUUGGCCACAGCCUUAUACUCAGCCUCAGUACUGCUACGCGAGACAGUAGCCUGUUUCCGAGCACUCCAGACAAUCAGGUUAGAGCCAAAGAAGACAGCAUAACCCCUCGUGGAUCGCCUGUCAUCCGGAUUGCCAGCUCGGUCUGCAUCAGAAUAUGCUGAAAGACAACCAGAGUCAGACGGCCGAAUAUGCAAACCAUGAGCCACCGUGAAACGAAUAUAGCGCAAAAUCCGCUUAACAGCAGACCAAUGAGUGUCACGGGGUGACUGCAGAUACUGGCAGACUCGGUUAACAGCAUAGGAAAUGUCUGGUCGCGUGAUCGUCAAGUACUGGAGCCCACCAACAAUACUCUUGUACUCUGUCGCAUCAGAAGAAGAAAGAAGCACACCAUCAACAACAUUGAGCUUAUCAGUGGUAGACAUGGGUGUAGUCGUCGGUUUGCACUUAAGCAUCCCAGCUCGCUGCAACAAAUCCAGAGAGUACUUCUUCUGCGUCAUAACAAGGCCAGCAGCACGAGAAGUAACCUCCACACCAAGAAAGUAAUGAAGCUUCCCAAGGUCCUUGACCGCAAAAUCAGCACCAAGUGAGCGAACAAGCGCAGUAGCAGCCGACUGAGAGGAGCUGACCAAAAUGAUAUCAUCUACAUAGACCAACAAGUACAUAGUAACCUCAGGCCUUUGAAGAAGAAACAAUGAGGAGUCAGCAGUUGAUGAUGCAAAACCAUGAGCACGAAGAGCCAUUGCAAGACGAGCAUGCCAAGCACGAGGAGCCUGCUUCAGACCAUAAAUUGCCUUGGACAGACGACAGAGAUGAUCAGGGCGAUCCGGACCAGAGAAACCCGGAGGCUGGCGCAUGUAAACCUCCUCCGCCAAGACACCAUGAAGAAAAGCAUUUUGAACAUCAAGCUGACGAAGAAACCAACCUCGAGUAACAACCAGAGAGAGAAGAAGUCUGAUGGUAGUAGGCUUGACCACUGGACUGAAGGUGUCUUCAUAGUCAAGUCCAAAACGCUGUCGAAAACCACGAGCAACCAGACGAGCCUUAUAGCACUCAAUGGACCCAUCAGAAUGCCUCUUCACUUUGAAAACCCAUUUGGAAUCAAUGACAUUUACCCGUGAUUGUGGAGGAACAAGAGUCCAUGUCUGAUUGCGAAGAAGCGCUUGAUACUCCUGCUCCAUGGCCUCUCUCCAAUGAGGAAUGCGCAUAGCAGCUUGAUACGGGCGUGGCUCAGAGGAUGGAUCUGCGAGAGCAGCAGACAUGCACGCCGCUAACCAAGCAACUGUGCCAUCGUGACGUUGCUUAGGCUGAAAAAUGCCACUCCGACUGCGCGUAUGUGGACGUAGAGCAGCAGCAGGAGCCGGCGGAGGCGAAGGUGACGGAGACGUGACGGUCGCCGGAGAUGCAAGAAUCACCUCAGGCGAGCUCGGGACAGACGACUCCGGACUGCAUGGCGAAGACUGGCCCGACGACAGGGGCUCAGAGGCCAUGGGCGAACCGAGAGUGGGCGAGGCCAGCUCCGGUGACACCGGCCCAGACGGCCUUGGCGAGGCGAGAGCAGGCGAGGCCGGCCCUGAUGAGAAGGGCCCAGACACCCUGGGCGAGGCAGGGGCGGGCGAGGCCAGGCCUGGUGUGACUGCCCCGACGCCCUGGGCGAGACGGGGACCGAGGAGGCCGGCCCAGUCGGCGGGGUUGCAGGGCGCGACGAUGGCGAAGGCAGCCCAGAAGCCAGAGGCGACCGGGCCAGGACGUCGAUCGGCCAUGCAUGAGCACGGAAACCGAGGCCAUGCAGGGGCGCCAUGUGCUCCUCAUGCAAAACAGAAGGUGUCGAGGAUGAAGGCGAUGGCGACGAAGAGGAAGAUGGCACUUCCAGAAUCUCCAAACGAGCCCCACGACCAGUGCCUGCACCAUGGUUAGGCAACAAUAGAGGAGAAUAUGCAACAUCAUCAAAUUGGUCAGAAGCAACAGAGGAUGAAUGCAUGACAGGUGGCUCGGUAGUGGACACAGGGAGUUUGGCAAAGGGAAAAACAUGCUUAUCAAACACAACAUCCCGAGAGAUGUAGACACGAUUAGUGGGCACAUGAAGACAUUUGUAUCCUUUAUGAAGAGAGCUAUAACCAAGAAAAACACACUUCUUGGAACGAAACUCGAGCUUACGCUUGUUAUAUGGACGGAGAUGGGGCCAGCAAGCACACCCAAACACCUUGAGAAAGGUGUAGUCCGGUUGUUCAUUAAGGAGAACUUCAAUGGGAGUCUUCAUAUUCAAAACACGAGUGGGAGUACGAUUGAUGAGAAAACAUGCAGUGGUGAAAGCAUCACUCCAAAAACGAAACGGAACAGAUGCAUGGGCCAAAAGAGUCAGACCAGCUUCAACAAUGUGACGAUGCUUACGUUCUACUGAACCAUUCUGCUGAUGUGUAUGUGGACAUGCUAAACGGUGAGUGAUCCCAAGUGACUGAAAGAAGGAGUUGAGGUUGCGAUACUCGCCACCCCAGUCCGACUGAACAUGAACAAUUUUGUGCUUGAGAAGGCGUUCAACAUGUUUUUGGAACUGAACAAAAAUGUCAAACACAUCAGAUUUACGUUUGAUAAGAUAAAGCCAGGUAAAGCGGCUGUAAGCAUCAACAAAACUGAUAUAGUAAUUAUGACCACUAACAGAAGUCUGAGCAGGACCCCAUACAUCUGAAAACACAAGUUCUAAAGGAUGUUUCACCUCACGACUGGACUCCGAAAAAGGAAGUUGAUGACUCUUCCCCUGCUGACAAGCAUCACACACUGCUACAUCUUUAUUACUAGACACACUAGGAAGCUCAUGACGACGCAAAACAUGUCGGACAAUAGGUGUGGCCGGGUGACCAAGACGAGCAUGCCACUGUGACGGAGAUACCCGAACUCCACUGAAGACGCGAGCGAUGCCAGGAUGCUCCAGACGAUAGAGACCUUGGCAGAGCCGCCCACUAAGAAGAAUGUCCCUCGUGCCCCGAUCCUUAAUAAAAAGAUCAAAAGGAUGAAAUUCACAAAGCACAUUAUUAUCACGAGUGAGUUUAGGAACUGAAAGAAGAUUACGUGUCACAGAUGGAACUCGAAGAACAUUGCGAAGUUGAAGACUCCUAUUGGCAUGUCUAGUGAGAAGUGAUGCUUGACCAAUAUGAGAGAUGUGCAUACCUGCUCCAUUGGCGGUGUGGAUGUUGUCGGAGCCAUGGUAGGGUUCACGAGUGUGAAGCUUCCCCAUCUCACUGGUCAGGUGCUCUGUCGCCCCAGAGUCCAUGUACCAGUGGGGAUCAAUGGAGUAGGACUGAGUGUGUCCCUGUGGCUUCUGCGGCGGCGGACGAUCAGCCAUGGCGACCUGACGAGCAAAGUUGCGUGUAUCCUUCCCGUCAUUGCCGAGACCAAGAAAACCCCGCUGGAAGCGCUUGUGACACUUCGAGGCCUGGUGCCCAUCGCGACCACAAAGCUGGCACACACGUGGACCGCCAGCCCCUGGUAGCGUCGCAGUAGGAGGAGGGGCCGAGGCGGGUGGUGCUGACUGCCCCGAAGGAGCCCUGGAUGAAGCAGAGGAGCGACCACCCUUGGUGGCGGCGUUUGCCGAGAGGGCGCCGUUGCCCCUGGAUCGGCGCGUCUCGACUCGUUGCUCAGUAAGCAGGAGGCGUGAAAAGACCUCGUGUGCUGGCAUGGGCGUGGAGUUGCCUCUCUCAUUGAUGAUCUCGACUAGGGCGUCAUACUCCUCAUCAAGACCAUUGACAAUAAACGAGUUGAACUCGGAGUCGGUGAGGGGCUGUCCAAUGGAGGCCAGCGUGUCGGCGAGACUCUUGACUUUGUUGUAGAACUCAGUGGCGGUGGAGUCAAGCUUCUGACACUCCCCAAGUUGGCGACGGAGCCCAGAUACACGAGCCUGCGACUGUGCCGCAAACGAGCGCUCAAGAAUAGUCCAUGCCUCGUGGGACGUCUUGGCGAAGACAACAAGCUCAGCAACGGCCGGAGAGAGCGACCCCUGGAUGGAGGAGAGGUUCGCCUGAUCCUGCCCUGUCCAGACACGGUGAGCCGGAUUAUAGACCGGACCGUGCACGCUGUCAACCAGCGCAGGAGGGCAAGGGAGAGAGCCGUCGACAUAGCCAAGCAGAUAGUGACUCCCAAGAAGCGGAAGAACCUGCGCGCGCCAGAAGAUGUAAUUGUCCGACGACAACUUGAUGGUGAUGAGAUGGCCGAAGUGAAACGGCGGCGGCGGCUGCGAUCCCAUCGAGGAGACUGGCUGAGGUGAGACCACCGUGGAGACAGUCAGAGGGGCAGCCGGCGCGGUGACAGAGGGCGCGAUGGCCGCGGUUGACGCCGCGAAGCCUGCCAGCGCGACGUCCUCCGCCACCAGCGGCGCAGUGGCCGAGGGCGCGACAGCCGCGGUUGACGGGGCGGCGGCGGUGUGGGCCACAAGCGCCUGCCCGGGCGAAGUAGCAGCCGGCGGGAGCGCGAAGAGGGAGCCGACCCUCCGUGUCCCGAUCGGCGCCUGAAGGGAGGCGGCAUCCAGCGGCCUCGAGAGAAGUGCCGCGAGGGAGGCCGGCAGAAAACCGGUGGCGGUGGAGCCGGGCGCAGCGGCGGACGUCAUAGCAGUCGGGCGACGGCGACGGCGGGCGCGGCGGCGGCGGCGGUGGCGGCGGCGGCGGUUUAGGGAUUUUAGGCGGAAGCGGACGUAACCUAGCGUGAUACCAUGUAAGACAAUAGGCUUUGGGGGGAACCGGCACAACCCUCUAGGGGUGGCCUAUCACAUAUAUAUAUAAUGAGGUGAUAUACAAUGUUACAAUAUACACAUGUAAAUACAGUUUAACAAAGGUGAUUGGUUUUCUUGAGGAAUGGAAGGUGAUUGAUCCAGUAUGGAUUGAUUGACUAUUGAAUAGAAUAGAGGCUUUCCUUCUUGGUGGGUUUUAAUCCAGAUCGGCAUGAGCAAUGCGAGCCCCAGGUAGAUUUUCAGAUUAGUCGGUUCUCGCUGCCAUCGCCAUCAGAGCCAUCGAGGAUGGGCAGGUGGGGCUUC
rnacentral:lncRNA from 1 species